UCUGACGGAGCACGCCGCGUGAACGAUGAAGGCUUUCGGGUCGUAAAGUUCUGUUGUUAGGGAAGAACAAGUACCGGAGUAACUGCCGGUACCUUGACGGUACCUAACCAGAAAGCCACGGCUAACUACGUGCCAGCAGCCGCGGUAAUACGUAGGUGGCAAGCGUUGUCCGGAAUUAUUGGGCGUAAAGCGCGCGCAGGCGGUUCCUUAAGUCUGAUGUGAAAGCCCCCGGCUCAACCGGGGAGGGUCAUUGGAAACUGGGGAACUUGAGUGCAGAAGAGGAGAGCGGAAUUCCACGUGUAGCGGUGAAAUGCGUAGAGAUGUGGAGGAACACCAGUGGCGAAGGCGGCUCUCUGGUCUGUAACUGACGCUGAGGCGCGAAAGCGUGGGGAGCGAACAGGAUUAGAUACCCUGGUAGUCCACGCCGUAAACGAUGAGUGCUAAGUGUUAGAGGGUUUCCGCCCUUUAGUGCUGCAGCAAACGCAUUAAGCACUCCGCCUGGGGAGUACGGCCGCAAGGCUGAAACUCAAAGGAAUUGACGGGGGCCCGCACAAGCGGUGGAGCAUGUGGUUUAAUUCGAAGCAACGCGAAGAACCUUACCAGGUCUUGACAUCCUCUGACAACCCUAGAGAUAGGGCGUUCCCCUUCGGGGGACAGAGUGACAGGUGGUGCAUGGUUGUCGUCAGCUCGUGUCGUGAGAUGUUGGGUUAAGUCCCGCAACGAGCGCAACCCUUGAUCUUAGUUGCCAGCAUUCAGUUGGGCACUCUAAGGUGACUGCCGGUGACAAACCGGAGGAAGGUGGGGAUGACGUCAAAUCAUCAUGCCCCUUAUGACCUGGGCUACACACGUGCUACAAUGGAUGGAACAAAGGGCCGCAAAACCGCGAGGUCGAGCCAAUCCCAUAAAUCCAUUCUCAGUUCGGAUUGACAGGCUGCAACUCGCCUGCAUGAAGCCGGAAUCGCUAGUAAUCGCGGAU
rnacentral:rRNA from 1 species